CAUGUCUGGUCUGUCCAUCCAUGCGUCCGUCUAGAUCUCAGAGACUAAAAAGCCAAAACAACGAAAUUUUUUAUUUACACUCCUGUGAUAUCACACUGUUACAAGUUUAUUUCGCCCACACAAAGUUCGAAAAUCGGUGGCCUCCACAAUUUUGAACCUACGAGAGAAUGAUUAUAUAACAACCAGAUUCAGGAGUCUGGUUUAGAUGGAUACUAUAUUGGAUGAGUGGAUGGCAUGUAAUUAACUUAUGAUCCACAUUUUCGAUGAGGGAUUCGGCCGUCUGGCAGCUUCUCUCGCUCAGCAAUAUACAAUAUAUUAAAACGGAAGAAAACCCUUAUAAGCGUUAUUUAUCUAAACCCUUUACCGACUGGUAAUACAAAUGCUGACAAGCUGAGCAGAUGCAUCUAUAAGAAAACGCUUACUCUUGAUUUUUGAGUUUAUAUCAAUCUUUUCCACUAUCUUUAUUUACUCAUCGGAUCAUCGUGUCGUAAUAAAAUGAAAUUUUCAUCAUUGUUUUUUUUUGGUAUAGUCGUAUAGAUAAUGCUCGUUGGAACACAAUUCGUUUGCUUUUCUCGGAUUAGACGUAAGAAGCUUAAUUGUAUUUGGUGUCGGGACUUGGUCUUAGACAAGUUAUUCUUUUGGGAUCUGCAUAACAAUGGGAACAUUUGUGAAAAAUGGCCAAAUGUUCGGCAUUCUAGAAAAGCUGCGCGUGUAUGUUUGUAUAUACUACAUACAUAUAUAUAUACAUAUAUAGAGCACAUCAAAAAAGCAAUAUACUACCUUAUGGGGUAUACAUUUGUGUACAUGCGAGUAUAGUACAUGUGUAGAAAUAUCGUACAAAAUUUGAGAACAGAACAUAUCAGGCAGGGUAUAUGAAAAUAUAGACAUAAUUAAAUAGAAAACAUAUAUAAAAAAACAAACAGGACGUCAAUAGAAAAAAUAAAAUGUAAAAAG